UACGUAGGCAGCGAGCGUUGUUCGGAGUUACGUGGGCGUAAAGGGUGUGUAGGCGGUUGUUUAAGUUUGGUGUGAAAUCUCCCGGCUCAACUGGGAGGGUGCGCCGAAUACUGAAUGACUUCGAGUGCGGGAGAGGAGAGUGGAAUUCCUGGUGUAGCGGUGAAAUGCGUAGAUAUCAGGAGGAACACCGGUGGUGUAGACGGCUCUCUGGACCGGUAACUGACGCUGAGACGCGAAAGCGUGGGGAGCGAACAGG
rnacentral:rRNA from 1 species